UUCAAAAUAAUCUGGAGGUAUUCACAGAGUUGCAGGAGAUUGGGAAAGAUAUAAAAGAGGAAGUGCAGGACAUUGGCUUUCAUGCACAUGGGGAUAUGGGUGGAGACAUCAGUAAAUGCCCCUACUAUGCAACCAAGAUGGCGGUGAGUGGAAACACGACUUAUGCAUGUAAUUUUGCCAAGAUGCUGCUUCGACAGUCCACAGUACAGGUGAUUCUGGCCACAUGGGUCGCUGCUGUCGCUGGAUUGGCUGCUUGGUACCUCAUGUGAUCACCUUUACCUGAAUCAGCCAAUCAGAAAUGAAAAUAGCAACAGCUGGGCUUCAAAGUGGAAAUCUUUCACUCACUGGGCCACUUUGUGAAAAUAUUGCUGCCGAUCAUAUAAAUAUGUAAAGUCACUGACUGGACUUUUAAUCCAUGCCACGUAUCUGUAUUAAAUACAAUGCUUUUAAAGGAGAUGUGACAUUAUUUAUCCUGUUUUCAAUCUCAGUCAAGAGUGUAAGCAUACAUGCUAGAAGACAUUGGAGCUGCUUAAAAUAAAACUAUU